UAGGGAAUCUUCCACAAUGGACGCAAGUCUGAUGGAGCAACGCCGCGUGAGUGAAGAAGGUCUUCGGAUCGUAAAGCUCUGUUGUUGGUGAAGAAGGAUAGAGGCAGUAACUGGUCUUUAUUUGACGGUAAUCAACCAGAAAGUCACGGCUAACUACGUGCCAGCAGCCGCGGUAAUACGUAGGUGGCAAGCGUUGUCCGGAUUUAUUGGGCGUAAAGCGAGCGCAGGCGGAAUGAUAAGUCUGAUGUGAAAGCCCACGGCUCAACCGUGGAACUGCAUCGGAAACUGUCAUUCUUGAGUGCAGAAGAGGAGAGUGACUCCAUGUGUAGCGGUGGAAUGCGUAGAUAUAUGGAAGAACACCAGUGGCGAAGGCGGCUCUCUGGUCUGCAACUGACGCUGAGGCUCGAAAGCAUGGGUAGCGAACAGGAUUAGAUACCCUGGUAGUCCAUGCCGUAAACGAUGAGCGCUAGGUGUUGGGGACUUUCCGGUCCUCAGUGCCGCAGCAAACGCAUUAAGCGCUCCGCCUGGGGAGUACGACCGCAAGGUUGAAAC
rnacentral:rRNA from 1 species